AUGGAGAGAAUUUUAAUCGGUGAUAUGCGCGACGGUGCCGCUAAUCUAGUUCAGAGCUCGGUUCGCCUGUUGAACAACAUGAAGCGUUUCAGAACUAUGCAAAACUCUCGCUGCAAGCCAUAUGAAGAAAGUGCAAAUGUUGUUAUCAAGCAGUUUGAGCAGGAUGAGGCUGCUGCCACCGACAGCAGGGCUGGUGAUGGUACUGAGGCUAAUGUUUUUGACCACGAAACGAAUGAUGUUGGCUUUGAGCGUCCUGAUGUUGAUUUUGAUCACGAUGAGGCUGCUGGCACCGACAGCAGGGCUGAUGAUGGUACUGAGGCUAAUGUUUCUGAUCAGUGUACGAACGAUGUUGGCUCGCAGCACCCUAUUGUUGAUGAGACCAGUCAUAAUGUUGAGGCUGCUGUUGACGGUGGAGUUAAUGAUCUAUCCACUAAUAAGUGCAAGGGUCCUAUUGUUGGCGAUGAGCCUUGUUUGCCUGUUGGUGAUGUCACUUUGAAUGUUAGCAGCAGCAAGUUCGAUGAUGUUGCUGUGAAUGCUUCCAAGAUUACUAUUGUUGAGCGUGAGGUUGUCCUUAGUGGUGGAGAUGAUGCUCAUGAUGUUCCAUUGAGUAGUGGGUGCAAUGUUGGUACCAAAGUGGCUGAUGAGGAUGCUGGUGCUGCCAGCAUACUUGAUGCCAAAUCGCCUGGUGUUGGUAUUGCUGGGAAUGAAAAUGUUUCUGGUUGUGAAGAUUUGCCGCCGAAGAAUUUCCCGCCUGGAGGUCUUGAUUACGGUGAUGCAUUGCAAUAUGCUUCUAGCAUGGAGGAGGUGCCAUCCGAGGAUGAUGAUUUACUUCUGUCAAUUUCUUCUGACCCCUUGACGCAGGAGGCGCUCUUGUCAUCCCAGGAUUUUCUUUCUACAAACCCUAAAAGCGCAUCAAUAUUGGUGUCCUCUCAAGAUGUCCCAUCGUCAAACCCUGAAGCUGGAGGCAUAAUGGUCUCAUCACAGGAACUACCGUCGUCUCAAACCCUGAUAGUCUAG
rnacentral:rRNA from 1 species